rnacentral:rRNA from 1 species
UACGUAGGUGGCAAGCGUUGUCCGGAUUUACUGGGCGUAAAGAGCGCGCAGGCGGUCGUGCAAGUCGCGUGUGAAAGCCCCCGGCUCAACUGGGGAGGGUCACGCGAUACUGCUCGACUUGAAGGCAGGAGAGGGAAGUGGAAUUCCCGGUGUAGUGGUGAAAUGCGUAGAUAUCGGGAGGAACUCCAGUGGCGAAGGCGACUUCCUGGCCUGUUCUUGACGCUGAGGCGCGAAAGCUAGGGUAGCAAACGGG